AGAGUUUGAUCCUGGCUCAGAUUGAACGCUGGCGGCAUGCUUUACACAUGCAAGUCGAACGGCAGCACAGGGAGCUUGCUCCCGGGUGGCGAGUGGCGCACGGGUGAGUAAUACAUCGGAACGUGUCCUGUUGUGGGGGAUAACUGCUCGAAAGGGUGGCUAAUACCGCAUGACACCUGAGGGUGAAAGCGGGGGAUCGCAAGACCUCGCGCAAUUGGAGCGGCCGAUGCCCGAUUAGCUAGUUGGUGAGGUAAAGGCUCACCAAGGCGACGAUCGGGUAGCUGGUCUGGAGAGGACGACCAGCCACACUGGGACUGAGACACGGCCCAGACUCCUACGGGGAGCA
rnacentral:rRNA from 1 species